rnacentral:lncRNA from 1 species
GAGGACUGGUAUGGUACAAAAAUGUAACCAAAAUUUUCAGAUACUACAUUUUUGAAAUGGGAUUAGGAAACAGUGUAUUAUCAUAACCCAGCUGUAGAAGAAUAAAGGUCUUUAAAUUGAAUGUUGCCAAAUUAAAUUGCAUAGUAAUCUUUAUAUAUUCUGGUAAUGUUAAAUAUUAGCUGUCAUUUAAUUGUUCUAAAGAAAAAUAAUAGUUGGUAUAUUUGGAAUUUUUAGGUUAAGUUUGUGUGCAAAAAUCCUCGUGUAAAAUUAAGUAAAACCGUUUUCCAAAUUUUGACUGGGUUGCCAUGAUUUUACAUUUUGGGAGGAAAAAAAACUAAUUUGAAAACUUUGCAGAUUUCUUUGUAUAUUUAUUUUUUCUAAUGGUUAUUUAACUAUUCAGUUAAAAUUAAGUGGCUAAACCAUUCAUAAUGCAAAAGGUGGAAGGAUUGCUUGGUUGUACAGUAAAAUGCAGUCUUUCAGUUAUACCAUUAAAAAUAAUGAAGUGUGUGUGUGUUUGACCUUUAACAAGGAUUAAUUUAAAAGAUCUCGUUGCUUUUGAAGGCAAUCAAUAUCAGAUAUGUAAUUUCCUGAUGUUAUCUGCAUUGUGUUAAAAACAAUAGUAGCAUUCAUCUAAAAGUUCAUUUUCUGUAAAAAUAUAUACAGAUAUACAUAUAUAUUUUUAUGGUGUGUACAGUAUAAAGCUAUGAAUUCAUAAGAAUGACCCAUAUACCAUCUUGGAGUGUAUAACAACAUUUCUCUAGUUCAGUGUGUGGGGAUUCUAACUCUUGAGCAAAGAAAUGAGUAUUUAAGGUCUUUUCUGCAGCACAUAUUCUUUCUGUUCUGCAAACACUGUAUAUUUAUGACCUUAAGCUUACAGUUUUACUAGUAACUGAUAGACACUGGUUUCUUAAUGAAUCAUGAAUUAUUUGGGUCAGGUUCUUUUUAAUUGAAACAACUUUCAAAUUUUUAUUAGUAAUACAAUAUAUAUUUAAAUUUUAUAUUUUUAUAAUUUUGCUUCACUGUGUUGCAAAGGUUUAGUUCAAAAGAUAUAAGUCCUUAUCUUUUGUGUGUUUUCUGUUUAAGAAAAUGUUCCAAGACAUUGAUACCAACUCUUUGUGUGAUCGUGCUCACAAACACACACACAUCCCAAGUUGUUCUACAUGAGCAAUAAAACAGUCUCGUUUUUUGGAAUAAUUUCAUAAAUUAUGACUUGUUACAUGCAUGUAAUAUAUAAAAGCUAUCUGUAUUUUUAGUUAUCUAUAGUGAAAUUCAC